UACAGAGGUCCCAAGCGUUGUUCGGAUUCAUUGGGCGUAAAGGGUGCGUAGGUGGCGGGGUAAGUCAGGUGUGAAAUUUCGGAGCUUAACUCCGAAACUGCAUUUGAUACUGCCUUGCUUGAGGACUGGAGAGGAGACUGGAAUUCACGGUGUAGCAGUGAAAUGCGUAGAGAUCGUGAGGAAGACCAGUGGCGAAGGCGGGUCUCUGGACAGUUCCUGACACUGAGGCACGAAGGCCAGGGGAGCAAACGGG
rnacentral:rRNA from 1 species